GCCCAGACAGUGAGAGCUGCCAGACAGUUCAGGGUUUCCAGUCUAACAAAACUGCCUUCAAAAUACAGGGGGAAGAAAAGCCCCUGGGAGCUCAGGACAUGGAGCAGGAAGCCGGUGAACAUGGCCAAGGCCACCGUCAGCUACCGCCAGGAGAAGACCCACAUGAUGAGCGCCGUGGACCGGAGCUUCACGGACCAGAGCACCCUGCAGGAGGACGAGCGGCUGGGCCUGUCCUUCAUGGACACCCACGGCUACAGCUCCCGGGUGAAAAGUUAAGCAUCUAUUGUGCUCCGGCUGGGUGCACUGGCACAGGGCGUGCAGAGGAGGCGCAGGUGUGUGUUGUGUUGUGCACUGGAGGAGCCUGCAAGGAGUUCUGCUGACACACGAGGGAUGCAAGACGCACCGUGCCGGUUGUCAAGGAGGAGGAGGAGAGUGCUGCUGUGUGAACUGAGGGACCACAGCAGCCUCGCCCUUUAUUGAGCACCUGCUGUGUGAGAGGCGGGGUCCAGUGGCCGAGACUGAGCGAUAUAGGGUCACACAGACCUGGGCUUGCCUGGCAGAUCCCCUUCUUAGCUGUGCGACCCGGGGCAAGUUGCUUGACCUCUCUGGAUGUCUGUUUCCUCAUCUGGAAAAUGGGCGCCUAUCAUACAGCUGCCGUGAAGACUAAAUGGGAUCAUGUGUGUAAUCACUUGGUGCAGUGCCCGACUGCAGAAAGCGUGCAGACAAUCCUAGCGGGCAUGAUUUAUGCACGUUGGGCCCCGUGCUGGGAGCUUUUCGUGUAUUACUUCAUUAAAUCUCUUCUUUUUAUGAGGUCAUAUUUGAUUUUUACAAAAAUCCUAUAUAGCAAAUGUGUAAGCUAUGAAGCAUCAUAAUAAAAUCA